GGGUGGGAUCAUACUUGCACUAAUGCAUCGGAUCCCAUCAGAACUCCGCAGUUUAAGUGCUUGGGGCGAGAGUAGUACUAGGAUGGGUGACCUUUUGGGAAGUCCUCGUGUUGCACCCC
rfam:Gossypium raimondii Chr06_contig_386, whole genome shotgun sequence.